rnacentral:rRNA from 1 species
AGUUUGAUCCUGGCUCAGGAUGAACGCUGGCGGUAUGCUUAACACAUGCAAGUCGAACGAAAGCUUUAUGCUUUAGUGGCGAACGGGUGCGUAAUACGUGAGAAUCUGCCCUUAGGAGGAGAAUAACUUCUGGAAACGGUUGCUAAGUCUCCAUAUGCCGAGAGGUAAAAUAGUUUACACUGCCUAGGGAUGAGCUCACGCCUGAUUAGCUUGUUGGUAAGGUAAUGGCUUACCAAGGCCACGAUCAGUAGCUGGUUUGAGAGAACGAUCAGCCACACUGGGACUGAGACACGGCCCAGACUCCUCCGGGAGGCAGCAGUGAGGAAUUUUCCGCAAUGGGCGAAAGCCUGACGGAGCAAUACCGCGUGAGGGAUGAAGGAUUUUGGUCUGUAAACCUCUUUUCUCAAGAAAGAAGUUCUGACGGUACUUGAGGAAUAAGCAUCGGCUAACUCCGUGCCAGCAGCCGCGGUAAUACGGGGGAUGCAAGCGUUAUCCGGAUUUAUUGGGCGUAAAGCGCCUGUAGGUUGUUUAAUAAGUCUGUUGUUAAAGACUAGGGCUUAACCCUAGGAAAGCAAUGGAAACUACUAGACUUGAGUAUGAUAGGGGUAGAGGGAAUUUCUAGUGUAGCGGUGAAAUGCGUAGAUAUUAGAAAGAACACCGGUGGCGAAGGCGCUCUACUGGAUCAUUACUGACACUCAGAGGCGAAAGCUAGGGUAGCAAAAGGGAUUAGAUACCCCUGUAGUCCUAGCCGUAAACGAUGGAUACUACAUGUUGCGUUUUUAAUGCAGUAUGGUAGCUAACGCGUUAAGUAUCCCGCCUGGGGAGUACGGUCGCAAGGCUGAAACUCAAAGGAAUUGACGGGGGCCCGCACAAGCGGUGGAGCAUGUGGUUUAAUUCGAUGCAACGCGAAGAACCUUACCAAGGCUUGACAUACUACAGAUUUCUUUGAAAGAGGAAAGUGCCUUCGGGAAUGUAGAUACAGGUGGUGCAUGGCUGUCGUCAGCUCGUG